rnacentral:lncRNA from 1 species
CCUUCAUUGCUGAGGUAUUUAUACAUCCUCUUUUUAAUUCCAACAUCUCUGAUGUUUAUGAGAUUUCCAUCAAGGUUGCUGCAACUUGUGGAGAAACUCUACCAUCCAUUAAUGUAGUCUCCAUUAUUCAAGCCAAAGGAGGAAGGACAGCAUUAUGCUUGAGAGUCAACCCACGGAUAGUACAGCCCUAGUUAUGGAAAAAUAAAGAUAUGGUGAUUUAAUAUGUUCAACCCAAGGACAUAGUGACUGACGUAGGACAAUCCUAUUAUAAAUAGGAAAAAAGUUAGAUAUUUAUAAUAUGAUAUUUAAGAUUUCUAGUUGUAUGUAAUAUGUUGACCUCUUUUUUGUAG